rnacentral:rRNA from 1 species
AUCUUCCGCAAUGGACGAAAGUCUGACGGAGCAACGCCGCGUGAGUGAUGAGGGUUUUCGGAUCGUAAAACUCUGUUGUUAGGGAAGAACAAGUAUCGGAGUCACUGUCGGUACCUUGACGGUACCUGACGAGAAAGCCACGGCUAACUACGGGCCAGCAGCCGCGGUAAUACGUAGGUGGCAAGCGUUGUCCGGAUUUAUUGGGCGUAAAGCGCGCGCAGGCGGUCUUUUAAGUCUGAUGUGAAAUCUUACAGCUUAACUGUAAGCGGUCAUUGGAAACUGGGAGACUUGAGUGCAGAAGAGGAGAGUGGAAUUCCAUGUGUAGCGGUGAAAUGCGUAGAUAUAGGAAGGAACACCAGUGGCGAAGGCGACUACCUGGACUGUAACUGACGCUGAGGUACGAAAGCGUGGGUAGCGAACA